GGAAGGAUCAUUAACACAUGUUAUUAAAACAACACAAAAUGAACACAUCUCCGCUUCCCUAUCCCAAACGAGACAUACGUGCGCAUGCAUGCGCUGUACAUCAUACGCACUUGGAAGAGGCGCACCUUGGUGCAGCUUUUUUCUAGUGUGUAAGGUGUGUAUGCAUGUGCAUGUGUGUUUUGGGGGUUGCGAGUGUUCUUCCUAACGCCAUGGCUCAGUGCAUGUGUGCGUGUGCAAAUAUGCGUACGCUGCGUGCAAGGGGCUUGUGCGUGUGGUCACUGUUUGAACAAGCGCGCGCGCGCAUACACGUGCGCGCGUUUGUGUCUUCAUUCGUGUUUUUAACUCCAUACAUAUUGUGUGUAUUGAACUCAUUGUCUCUGAUUUCCUUUCUUUCUUUUCCCUCCCACCAGUGGGGGGAAAACGAAAACAAGGAAAACACUUUAUAUAAAAACAAAACCUCGAGAUAACUUUUAACAACGGAUAUCUUGGUUCUCGCAACGAUGAAGAACGCAGCGAAAUGCGAUACGUAAUGUGAAUUGCAGAAUUCAGUGAAUCAUCGAGACUUUGAACGCAAAUUGCGCCUAUGGGAACUCCUGUAGGCACGCCUGUUUGAGUAUCGGUUCCAUACUCAUCCCAUAUCCCGCUGCUGCUGCUGCUGCUCUCGUACUGUGUGCGUGCACACUGGUGUGAGGUGGUGGUGGUGGUGGAGGAGGUAUGCGUGAUGGAUUUUGAGCUUUUGUCAGGGGCACACUCUUGUGUCCUUGUCGCUCUAAAUGCAUGCACAAAAAGAGUCUGUGCGUGCCACAUACGUUUCGUGACACUAUGAGCAUUUUUCUUUGCUUGGUGCGACGUGUGUGUCAGUGUGGUAAUUGCGUGUGCGUGCGCACCAUGUUUUUUCAUGGUGUGCGUGCUAUGCAAAGGAUCACUGGCAAAACAAAAACACACUUCGGUUAUCAUCGAGCAAGGCGCAAGGACACCAAUACAUAUACGUGUAUUGGCGUCAUUGUGUGCUGUGGGUGGCACGAAAAACACACGUGUGUGGCGCUCUACAUGCGCGCUUUCUUUCUUUUGGUGUGCUACAUAUUUUACUCAAGAAUCUGUGUGUGCGUGUGUGUGCACGCUUACUGACCAUGAGCCACUCCACCUGCCACUGCCACCUUGGUGGUGUUGGUGGUGGUGUGGGUGGUGAAGGGUUGUUUGCAAUACACACACACCUAUACGUGCACAGGUUUUUUUAAUAUCUCGAUCUCAAAUCAGGCGAGGCUACCCGCUGAACUUAAGCAUAUUAUUAAGCGGAGGAAAAGAAACUAACCAGGAUUCCCUCAGUAGCGGCGAGUGAAGCGGGAACAGCUCAUAUUUAAAAUCUGGGGUGCUCAACUGUGCCCCCGAAUUGUAGUUUUUGGAAGGUCAGUCCAGGCGCCUCCCCGGGUAUAAAUCCUUUGGAACAGGGUGUCACAGAGGGUGAGAAUCCCGUACGUGACCCGGAGGGUGGACGGCGUCGACACGUGUCUGGCUUUCUUAGAGUCGGGUUGUUUGGGACUACAGCCCUAAAUGGGUGGUAAAUUUCAUCUAAAGCUAAAUACUGGCGAGAGACCGAUAGCGAACAAGUACCGUGAGGGAAAGAUGCAAAGAACUUUGAAAAGAGAGUCAAAAGUGCUUGAAAUUGUUAAAAGGGAAACGAUUUAGUCCAGUGUUCACGCGUGUGGGACUCAACUCGGGCGGCGUGUCGCCCCUGUGCUCGGAUAGCUCUCCUCAUGGGGGGCGGCCGGGUGUGGGGGUGGGCGCGUCACCGGGUGCACUUCCUGCAUUGCGUGGGUCAGCGUCAGCUCUGGCCCUGCGGGACAAGACUCGUGGGAAGGUGACAGGCGGGGUGCGCAAGUGCUUCGUCUGUGUUAUAGACCGCGAGCCAUACCGUGGGCUGGGCUGAGGGAGCCGGACGUGCGCCGCAAGGCCAGGCGUGUUCAUUCUCUGGCGGGCGGGACAUGGGGGGACCGGGCAACCCGGUGCCUUUGUGCCUCGUUCGUCACGGGGUGGGACGAUCCUGUGCACGGCCUGGACGCUGACGAAAUGGGCUAAACCGACCCGUCUUGAAACACGGACCAAGGAGUCUAACGUAUGUGCGAGUAUUAUGGUGAGUCAAACCAUGAUGCGCAAUGAAAGUGAAAGGGCGGGACGCCGGGUGACGCCGGUUUUGCACCGCCGACCGAUCUGGAUAUAUCCGCAAGGACAUUUGAAAGAUUUGAGUAUAAGCGCAUCCGCUAGGACCCGAAAGAUGGUGAACUAUGCCUGCAUAGGGUGAGGCCAGAGGAAACUCUGGUGGAGGCUCGUAGCGAUACUGACGUGCAAAUCGUUCGUCAAAUGUGGGUAUAGGGGCGAAAGACUAAUCGAACCAUCUAGUAGCUGGUUCCCUC
rnacentral:misc_RNA from 1 species